rnacentral:rRNA from 1 species
UACGUAGGCAGCAAGCGUUGUUCGGAGUUACUGGGCGUAAAGGGUGUGUAGGCGGUUAUUUAAGUUUGGUGUGAAAUCUCCCGGCUCAACCGGGAGGGUGCGCCGAAUACUGAAUGACUUGGAGUGCGGGAGAGGAAAGUGGAAUUCCUGGUGUAGCGGUGAAAUGCGUAGAGAUCAUGAGGAAGACCAGUGGCGAAGGCGGGUCUCUGGACAGUUCCUGACACUGAGGCACGAAGGCCAGGGGAGCAAACGGG